rnacentral:rRNA from 1 species
GAGUUUGAUCCUGGCUCAGAAUGAACGCUGGCGGCGUGCUUAACACAUGCAAGUCGAACGAGAAAGGGAUUGCUUGCAAUCCUGAGUAGAGUGGCGGACGGGUGAGUAACACGUGGAUAAUCUGCCCCCCGGCCGGGGAUAGCCCAUGGAAACAUGGGGUAAUACCGGAUACGACCGGGACCGCACAAGCGGUUCCGAGGAAAGGCGCUACGGCGCCACCGGGGGAUGAGUCCGCGGUCCAUUAGCUAGUUGGCGGGGUAUCGGCCCACCAAGGCUGCGAUGGAUAGCCGGCCUGAGAGGGCGAACGGCCACAUUGGGACUGAGACACGGCCCAGACUCCUACGGGAGGCAGCAGCUAAGAAUCUUCCGCAAUGGACGAAAGCCUGACGCAGCAACGCCGCGUGAGUGAUGAAGGCUUUCGGGUCGUAAAGCUCUGUCGAUGGGAAAGAAGUGUAUUGUGGUUAAUACCCAUGAUACUUGACGGUACCCAUAAAGGAAGCACCGGCUAACUCCGUGCCAGCAGCCGCGGUAAUAC